rnacentral:rRNA from 1 species
GACGAACGCUGGCGGCGUGCCUAAUACAUGCAAGUAGAACGCACAGUUUAUACCGUAGCUUGCUACACCAUAGACUGUGAGUUGCGAACGGGUGAGUAACGCGUAGGUAACCUGCCUGGUAGCGGGGGAUAACUAUUGGAAACGAUAGCUAAUACCGCAUAAUAUUAAUUAUUGCAUGAUAAUUAAUUGAAAGGUGCAAUUGCACCACUACCAGAUGGACCUGCGUUGUAUUAGCUAGUAGGUGAGGUAACGGCUCACCUAGGCGACGAUACAUAGCCGACCUGAGAGGGUGAUCGGCCAAACUGGGACUGAGACACGGCCCAGACUCCUACGGGAGGCAGCAGGAGGGAAUCUUCGGCAAUAGACGAAAGUCUGACCGAGCAACGCCGCGUGAGUGAAGAAGGUUUUCGGAUCGUAAAGCUCUGUUGUAAGAGAAGAACGGGUGUGAGAGUGGAAAGUUCACACUGUGACGGUAUCUUACCAGAAAGGGACGGCUAACUACGUG